AGCGAACGUUUGCGGCGGGCUUAACACAUGCAAGUCGAACGGGCUGUUCCUUCGGGGGCAGUCAGUGGCGCACGGGUGCGUAACACGUAGGUAAUCAACCCUCUGGUUGGGGAUAACACUUCGAAAGGAGUGCUAAUACCCGGUAUGGCGCAGCGGUCUUCGGAUCGCGGCGAGAAAGACCCGCAAGGGUUGCCAGAGGACGAGCCUGCGGCCCAUCAGCUAGUUGGCGAGGUAACGGCUCACCAAGGCGAAGACGGGUAGCUGGUCUGAGAGGAUGAUCAGCCACACUGGAACUGAGACACGGUCCAGACUCCUACGGGAGGCAGCAGUGGGGAAUAUUGCGCAAUGGGCGAAAGCCUGACGCAGCCACGCCGCGUGAGCGAUGAAGGCCUCGGUCGUAAGACUCUGUGGGAGGAGAAGAAUAAAGACCUGUGAAGAGCAGGCCUUGACGGUAGUCUCCUUAGCAAGCACCGGCUAACUCCGUGCCAG
rnacentral:rRNA from 1 species